UGCCGUCUACUCUUGGACAGCCUUCUGAAAGGAAGAUUAAUACAAGAUGGCAUCAUGAGUCCGCAUGUUCACAUGAUUAAAGGUAUUCCGGUAGACGAUGGGGAUGCGUUCCAUUAGAUAGUAGGCGGGGUAACGGCCCACCUAGUCUUCGAUGGAUAGGGGUUCUGAGAGGAAGGUCCCCCACAUUGGAACUGAGACACGGUCCAAACUCCUACGGGAGGCAGCGGUGAAGAAUAUUGGUCGGUGGGCGAGAGCCUGAACCACCCAAGUAGCGAGAAGGAUGACUGCCCUAUGGGUU
rnacentral:rRNA from 1 species